rnacentral:tRNA from 2 species
CACCUGCGUGGUGCGGUUGUCCCGGGUGGCAUCCGGGCCGGGGGAGUCGGGGCGCUCGCCGGGCGCAGCACCUGGACGGGUGCC